ACGAGCAGCAUGGGCACAUUUGUAUGCGCUGGCGCUUCACCGCUGCGCUGCCCCCGCUUACACAUGAUGCUAGACCAUUUUAUUUUUCCUACAGGAUAAGGCUCCUGCAAAGCGGCGUUAUUCUGCCCAUGUUAACAAUUGAUUGUUUCAGAGAGGGGAGAGAACAACCCGUGGUCACACAAGUCUACCCAAUCCGUAGUUUUUAGGAUAUUUGUUUUUUUUUGGCCCCUCGUUUUUUUGCGACGUGCACAGCAGAUAAAAGUUUGUCCAGGGGUUCCGCUAUGGAUGGUUUCUGAUUUUAGGGGACGGAACACGCGCGGCAGCCUAUCUCCGAGAUCAUUUUGGAAAGAUUGACGGCUCGUGAUGCCUGGCCAAUGAGAGGCGUCAUGCGUGUCACAUGGUCGUGGGCCACGCCCCUUCUCAUCACCAUGGUUCUGCUCAGGCUUGUCCGAUGCGAGGAGAACCCCCUGGUCCCAGACGCGGGAACAGCAGACGCUGCCGCCGCCGCCGCCGCCGC